rnacentral:rRNA from 1 species
UACGAAGGGGGCUAGCGUUGUUCGGAAUUACUGGGCGUAAAGCGUGCGCAGGCGGUUAUGUAAGACAGAUGUGAAAUGCCCGGGCUAACCUGGGAACUGCAUUUGUGACUGCAUGGCUAGAGUUUGGCAGAGGGGGGUAGAAUUCCACGUGUAGCAGUGAAAUGCGUAGAUAUGUGGAGGAACACCGAUGGCGAAGGCAGCCCCCUGGGUCAAGACUGACGCUCAUGCACGAAAGGCGUGGGGAGCAAACGAGG